UACGAAGGGGGCUAGCGUUGCUCGGAAUCACUGGGCGUAAAGGGUGCGUAGGCGGGUCUUAAGUCAGGGGUGAAAUCCUGGAGCUCAACUCCAGAACUGCCUUUGAUACUGAAGAUCUUGAGUUCGGGAGAGGUGAGUGGAACUGCGAGUGUAGAGGUGAAAUUCGUAGAUAUUCGCAAGAACACCAGUGGCGAAGGCGGCUCACUGGCCCGAUACUGACGCUGAGGCACGAAAGCGCGGGGAGCAAACAGG
rnacentral:rRNA from 1 species